UACGUAGGGGGCAAGCGUUGUCCGGAUUUAUUGGGCGUAAAGAGCACGCAGGCGGUCUUGUAAGUUUCGAGUGACAGGUGGUGGCUUAACUGCCACAGGGCUGGGAAAACUGCAAGACUUGAGAACUUCAGAGGGAUGCGGAAUUCCAGGUGGAGCGGUGAAAUGCGUAGAGAUCUGGAAGAACACCAAAGGCGAAGGCAGUAUCCUGGGAAGAAUCUGACGCUGAGGUGCGAAAGCCAGGGGAGCGAACGGG
rnacentral:rRNA from 1 species